rnacentral:lncRNA from 1 species
CUGGCAGAGGUGGUUGGGGCUAUGUGCCUGGAGUGAAGAUUCUGCCCAUUGGUCAAGAGACCUCCCUCUCAGAUGCUGGCUCUGCCCCUGCCUUUGGGGGUCGACCCUUGUACUCGCAGGACCUUAGGUGACUCUAUUCUACUUCUCUGAUCAUCCAGGAAGCCAACCUGCCUGAGGACGAGUCAUACUCUGUCCUCCCACCCCAGGCCAGAGAGUGGUAUCUGUCUUUCCACAAGUUAUGGACGUCUGGAAUCAGGUGGCUCACAGUCAUUCCAGUAUUUCCUGGAUAGGACCGAACAGUCCGAUUCUUGCACAUCUAAGACUAAGUAAUAUACAGUUGUAUUUUCCUGAGGAAUGCCAAAAGCAACAUGAGCUGGCCAUAAAGACAUUCUCUGACCUACUCUGUUUGAUAGUAGGUCCUCAGAUCCGCAUUCCAAAGGGAUCCUGUCCCAUACUUGGGAGCAAGAAAUGCCACACAGAGAGGCCAUGAAGAACUCAAACAGAGAGGCCUUGCUGGGUCCUUCUUUCAGUCUAUGACUCUUAGAUUACAGCCUUUUGUCCCAUCACACUUCUGCAUUCUGCACAGCCUUUGUGAAUUCUAAGUAUGCAAGUGGCCAGUUUCUUUGGAUAUCUGAGUCUUCAUUUAUGAAGACUCCAGUGUCAGGACCAUAUUGCGACUGAAACAAGGCAUAACAGGUCUUUGACUGGCUAUCCUGUGGAUGUGGACUCAGGCUAGCCUGCGCAAAGUGAAAGACAGGCAAUUAGAUUGAAAAAUACCUGUGAUUCAAAGAAGUCACAAGUCACAGAGACAAACUUUUCCCAGUGUGUUCGAGUCAGAGAACCUUUGCAAAGACCAACAGGCUAAAAGAGAAAAUACAAUGUCAUGACACAGCUAGAAUAUGUUU